rnacentral:rRNA from 1 species
UACGAAGGGGGCUAGCGUUGUUCGGAAUUACUGGGCGUAAAGCGUGCGCAGGCGGUUUUGUAAGUCUGUCGUGAAAUCCCCGGGCUCAACCUGGGAAUUGCGAUGGAGACUGCAAGGCUGGAGUCUGGCAGAGGGGGGUAGAAUUCCACGUGUAGCAGUGAAAUGCGUAGAGAUGUGGAGGAACACCGAUGGCGAAGGCAGCCCCCUGGGUCAAGACUGACGCUCAUGCACGAAAGCGUGGGGAGCAAACAGG